GGAUGACCGCUGGCGGCGUGCCUACUACAUGCAAGUCGAGCGAACGGACGAGAAGCUUGCUUCUCUGAUGUUAGCGGCGGACGGGUGAGUAACACGUGGAUAACCUACCUAUAAGACUGGGAUAACUUCGGGAAACCGUAGCUAAUACCGGAUAAUAUUUUGAACCGCAUGGUUCAAAAGUGGAAGACGGUCUUGCUGUCACUUAUAGAUGGAUCCGCGCUGCAUUAGCUAGUUGGUAAGGUAACGGCUUACCAAGGCAACGAUGCAUAGCCGACCUGAGAGGGUGAUCGGCCACACUGGAACUGAGACACGGUCCAGACUCCUACGGGAGGCAGCAGUAGGGAAUCUUCCGCAAUGGGCGAAAGCCUGACGGAGCAACGCCGCGUGAGUGAUGAAGGUCUUCGGAUCGUAAAACUCUGUUAUUAGGGAAGAACAUAUGUGUAAGUAACUGUGCACAUCUUGACGGUACCUAAUCAGAAAGCCACGGCUAACUACGUG
rnacentral:rRNA from 1 species